rnacentral:rRNA from 1 species
CCAUGCCGCGUGUGUGAAGAAGGCCUUUUGGUUGUAAAGCACUUUAAGCGAGGAGGAGGCUACUCUAGUUAAUACCUAGGGAUAGUGGACGUUACUCGCAGAAUAAGCACCGGCUAACUCUGUGCCAGCAGCCGCGGUAAUACAGAGGGUGCGAGCGUUAAUCGGAUUUACUGGGCGUAAAGCGUGCGUAGGCGGCUUUUUAAGUCGGAUGUGAAAUCCCUGAGCUUAACUUAGGAAUUGCAUUCGAUACUGGGAAGCUAGAGUAUGGGAGAGGAUGGUAGAAUUCCAGGUGUAGCGGUGAAAUGCGUAGAGAUCUGGAGGAAUACCGAUGGCGAAGGCAGCCAUCUGGCCUAAUACUGACGCUGAGGUACGAAAGCAUGGGGAGCAAACAGGAUUAGAUACCCUGGUAGUCCAUGCCGUAAACGAUGUCUACUAGCCGUUGGGGCCUUUGAGGCUUUAGUGGCGCAGCUAACGCGAUAAGUAGACCGCCUGGGGAGUACGGUCGCAAGACUAAAACUCAAAUGAAUUGACGGGGGCCCGCACAAGCGGUGGAGCAUGUGGUUUAAUUCGAUGCAACGCGAAGAACCUUACCUGGUCUUGACAUAGUAAGAACUUUCCAGAGAUGGAUUGGUGCCUUCGGGAACUUACAUACAGGUGUC